rnacentral:lncRNA from 1 species
GACAAUUUAGGACAUGGACCAACCGGGUUUGGUCAAGAGAGUCGGUUCAACAUUCAAAUUCAUAAAUUAAUACUUGCACUGAAGCUAAGAUAAUACAUUGGUAGCUGUGACUUGUGAGAGGGGAGAAGUCAAGAUCAAAUUAAUUAAAGGGAAAACAAUUAAACCGCAUCUCAAGUGGAGUAGUAUAUAUUUAAUGAUGAUUUUGAUCGAUUGGCCCAGUGUGCACUAGCGUAGAGUGAGGAUGGUUGAUGGGGAACACAUGUGACUCACAUUCAUUAAAAGUCAAAACAAAUUUAAUUUGUAUCAUGAAUUCAUGAUGACAAAGUACACUACUUCUACAUCUUAAUUAGUCCUCCUCCUCCUCCACUCGAUUCUUAUUUUUUAUGCUUUUGGG